rnacentral:lncRNA from 1 species
UCGUUCGUUCCUGCUUGUUAUGUUUUAGUUGGAUAUUUUGUAUUGUACGUUUCGUUUGAACCAUUAUAUGUUUUUAAUCAAGGAAAUUAAGGUCGAGAUUAAGAUCUUGGUGUCUAUUUUUUCUUAUCUACUGAAUUUCCUCGGUUAAAGAAAUUUACUGGUUCAUAUUUAUAUUUUCUGUGUUUGUUUUAUUAUUUGCGAUGAUGAUAAUGUGUAUCCCAGCUCAUUAUGAGGCCUUUUUGUAAGGUCUGGGAAUUCAAUCUUCC